UACGUAGGGUGCGAGCGUUGUCCGGAAUUAUUGGGCGUAAAGAGCUCGUAGGCGGUUUGUUGCGUCGGCUGUGAAAUCCCGAGGCUCAACCUCGGGUCUGCAGUCGAUACGAGCAAACUAGAGUGUUGCAGGGGAGACUGGAAUUCCUGGUGUAGCGGUGGAAUGCGCAGAUAUCAGGAGGAACACCGGUGGCGAAGGCGGGUCUCUGGGCCAUUACUGACGCUGAGGAGCGAAAGCGUGGGGAGCGAACAGG
rnacentral:rRNA from 1 species